rnacentral:tRNA from 1 species
GGAGAGGUAGCGAAGUCCGGCUGUAACGCGCCCGGCUCGAAACCGGGUUGUCCCUUAACCGGGGCACGUGGGUUCGAAUCCCACCCUCUCCG